rnacentral:hammerhead_ribozyme from 1 species
AUCCAACUGACGAGUACCACACAGGAUGAAACGCGCUUCUUGGAU